GACGAACGCUGGCGGCGUGCCUAAUACAUGCAAGUCGAGCGGGGUAAAAAGUGUGCUUGCACGGUUUUUAUUUAGCGGCGAACGGGUGAGUAACACGCAGGGUAACCUGGCCAUAAGACAGGGAUAACGCACGGAAACGUGAGCUAAAACCAGAUAGGCAUUUCCACGCAUGAGGGAGAUGAGAAAAGGCGGAGCAAAUCUGCCGCUUAUGGAUGGACCUGCGUCGCAUUAGCUAGUUGGAGUGGUAAAGGCACACCAAGGCGACGAUGCGUAGCCGACCUGAGAGGGUGAGCGGCCACACUGGGACUGAGACACGGCCCAGACUCCUACGGGAGGCAGCAGUAGGGAAUCUUCCGCAAUGGACGAAAGUACUGACGGAGCAACGACCGCCGUGAGUGAAGAAGGUUU
rnacentral:rRNA from 1 species